AGGGCCACAUCAUGUUGAAACACCAGUUUCCGUACAAUCACCGAAGUUAAGCAACGUCGAGCCUGGUCAGUACUUAGAUGACCGCUUGGGAAUACUAGGUGCUGUAAG